rnacentral:lncRNA from 1 species
ACCAGGUGUAAGUGGGAUCUCAACAGGGUUCCUUUUGUCCGUCUCAUUUAGCUAAAUCUUCCUGUUACAUUUCUGGCUGCUUUGCUGUUCUGUGAAAUCUCCCAACUAGGACGGACCUGAGGCUGAUGUUAUCCUUCCCUGUUUAUGUUACGUUUGCCACUCGUAGCUUUCUUGUUUUCAACAAGAGGAUUUUCCACUAUCUGCUCCAAAUGCUGCAAGUUCUCCUCUAGCAGGGAGCAGAGCUUCCAGGCAUUAUGAUCUGUCCUGCCUGUCUGGAUGGAACUUCUGCUCCAUACUAUUGAUACUACUUGUUGUCCACUUUUUCUCCUUUUCAUUUCCUUUUGGUGAAGAAAUGAAGAGAAUCAGACUACCCACCUUGGAUUCUGAUAUGAAAGAUUUAGGAUAAAAGAGCUACUCCAUCAGCCUGGAAAGAUGACUCACUGGCAAACUCUUAGAUAAAGCUAAACUUCACACCAAACUGCAAGAGAGUCUAAGAAUGAAGAGAAAACUGCUUUGGCAAGCAACUACCUAGUCUCUGACACAGUCCACCUUUUUGGUCAGCCAAUAUCCAGCUCCGCCUUGUCUUCUUACACAAAGCCCAGGCAAAGCCCAGGAUUGCUAACUGUUGUACAAACCUGUUGGUCAGGCCUAGAUGGAAGCUUUCAACCCCAUUUCAAGUCAGCUGGCUUAUCCAACCCUGAAAGGUCUGUGAUCUCUCAGUUCUUUUUAUAAACAGGCCUCUGCUUGCAAAUGGCCAAUUCUUGCCUGAGCUCAUCUCUUUCUUGUAAUACUUUAUGAAAGGCAGCCAGUAGUAACUAAUGCAUAAAUUUUUCCAACCAACUGGCCCAAAGGUCAGUAGACCUUUUUACCAAAUGUUUCGCAAUGUAUAGCAUGAAUCUCCAUCUUUCUCCUCUCUGUUAUCAGGUUCCUCAGUGCCCAACCAUUAUGUCAAUGCCUUUUACCUUAAUUUUUUUCUUAUGGCAACAUUUUCUUCUGGAAUUAUUUCUGUACUGUAGCAAAUGCCCUAAACUGUGUAAAACAGUUUGAAGACACUAUUUUUUUUUCUAUUUUUAUCAUUUGUUCCUCGGUCUACUCAAUACGCUCCCUGCUUAAAACUCCCCUAGUGAUUUUCUGUUGGGUUUAAAAUAGAGUCUAAACUCUUUACCAUGGAUUACAAGCUUCUCUGUUAACUGGUUGUAACCUGCAUUUCCAGCCUCCUUUGGCGCCACUCUUGUCCCACCAACUAUAUCACAUUUCCUUUGGAACAUUUUCUGCUUCUUGAACUUGCCCAGGUCCUUGCUGUUAGCUGGUCCCUUUGCCUAUGAUGAUCUUCCUUCUUAGCAUCACUUGAACUGCAAAAAAUAAAAAAUGAAACAAAAAACAAACUCCUGUGUGUUAUUUACAUC